UUCGUAAUCUACCCUUCCGGUUUCUCCUGUUCCGUUCAUCCGUCUCACAGUAUCUCACUGUUUCUCCGCGUAGCUUUCGUUGCAUCAUAUCUCAAAGUGUAACAAAUUUCUUCCUCUAAACUUCAACAUUCUCUUUCUACCUAACGUCUCUGUCUCUCUCUGAUGCUAUUGUUCAUGUACAAUUGCUGCAAACGCCCCUAUCACCAUGAAAUAGACCUUAACGCUGGAAAGCGUCGCAAUCAACCGGAAAUUCAUGACAUUUACUCAUGUGACAAUGGAAUCGGACGAGUACGCCAAUGCAGCCUUUGAGACGGCCCAUAACUGCUGAUUGUGCUCUAAUGAACCACAACUCGUAUUCUUGCUCUGAAAGGUUGUCUUUCGGAAGUGGAUAACUCCAAACACGCUAGGAAUUGUCACUCGGACGGCUGUAUAUCAUUGGUGCUGGAAAUUAAUCUUGUGACGUUUCCAAAUGUUGCUGAUGCUACAUUAGCUAAUGGCAUGUUUAGUCAUUACGAUCAUCCAUGGAUUGCUCAUCUUUGUGAGAAGGCCGGCCUUUUCAUUCGGGCCCUUCUGAUUGAAAAGCAUGAGCUUCUUGAGAUGAGGCGUGUAGCUUAUAUUUAUAAAAAAGCUGGAAGAUGGAAGCAGUUUAUUGCUUUGUCAAAAAGGGAAAAUCUUUACAAGGACUGCAUGGAAACUUGCUCCCAAUCUGGUGACCGUGAACUCUCAGAGGAUUUGCUUGUUUACUUUAUUGAGCAGGUCUAUUUUCUUAUUCCUUUCCUUGAAAUACCACUCUGCUAUUCCUUGCUAUAUGUAUAGUUGAUUCUCAGUUAUAAAUUUUUUCUUAGUUUUGUAGUCGUGUAAAUGCAUUCUGAUUAGGAUUUCACAAAAAAUUUGUUCGUCUAAUAUCGUAUAUAAAUAUUCAUCAACUAUUAUCAAUGUUCUAUUUGUGCUGGUUAGUUUCCCUGUUGCCUUUCACUGAUAAGUUUGGGUUAUUUUAUUUUACUUUCCAUGUGACUCACGAUAUGAUACAUGUAUUAGAUACGACAUGUAUUUAACAAUAUAUAUACAUAUUGAAAAGUUUACAAAAAUUCUUAAAAACAUGAUAAAUAUAUAAUUGCUAUUGUGUGAAAUUAAAAUCAUAUACAUUAA